rnacentral:tRNA from 1 species
GCCCGGAGAGCUCAGUCGGUAGAGCAUUAGACUUUUAAUCUGAGGGCCCAGGGUUCGAGCCCCUGUUCGGGCU